UACAGAGGGUGCGAGCGUUAAUCGGAAUUACUGGGCGUAAAGAGCUCGUAGGCGGUCUGUCACGUCGGCUGUGAAAACCCGAGGCUCAACCUCGGGCCUGCAGUCGAUACGGGCAAACUAGAGUACUGCAGGGGAGACUGGAAUUCCUGGUGUAGCGGUGGAAUGCGCAGAUAUCAGGAGGAACACCGAUGGCGAAGGCAGGUCUCUGGGCCACUACUGACGCUGAGAAGCGAAAGCAUGGGGAGCGAACAGG
rnacentral:rRNA from 1 species